rnacentral:rRNA from 1 species
GACGAACGCUGGCGGCGUGCUUAACACAUGCAAGUCGAACGGAAAGGCCCUGCUUUUGUGGGGUGCUCGAGUGGCGAACGGGUGAGUAACACGUGAGUAACCUGCCCUUGACUUUGGGAUAACUUCAGGAAACUGGGGCUAAUACCGGAUAGGAGCUCCUGCUGCAUGGUGGGGGUUGGAAAGUUUCGGCGGUUGGGGAUGGACUCGCGGCUUAUCAGCUUGUUGGUGGGGUAGUGGCUUACCAGGGCUUUGACGGGUAGCCGGCCUGAGAGGGUGACCGGCCACAUUGGGACUGAGAUACGGCCCAGACUCCUACGGGAGGCAGCAGUGGGGAAUAUUGCACAAUGGGCGGAAGCCUGAUGCAGCAACGCCGCGUGCGGGAUGACGGCCUUCGGGUUGUAAACCGCUUUCGCCUGUGACGAAGCGUGAGUGACGGUAAUGGGUAAAGAAGCACCGGCUAACCACGUG